UCCCCAAUGAUGUCAGUCUAGAGCAGCCCCUUCAGAACAAUUGCAGUAAUGACACAAGGGAUCACGGUCAUGUCAGGUCUGCCAGAAUAGAUUUUUUAAUUGCUGUUUGUGGUUUUUUUUUUGUCACCCGCUUUGUAGACACAUUUAAUUACAGAUGCAACUUAAGUCAUUUAUAUGUCUUUCUGACUGACAGAUAUAUUGGUUUAUGUCCUAGCUGCAAAAUUAUGCCCACAGGUAUGUGCAGCUGUUGUUCUGAGCCAGCGGAAGGAAUGCAUAGGUAUGGCACUUCAGCAACUUUAUCUCUUCUCUCUAGAAUGCCAAAGAAAAAGAAACACAUUUUCAAAAAAUUCAGUUGAUCUUAAUAAGUUUACCACUGUUUGUUACCCAUACUGUUUGUGAGACAACACUGAAAUGUGGAUGAGGCAAGCACCAAUGUAAGCAAUGCUGUUUUCUAAACCAGUGUGAUGCCUCAGGUGCAGAAGAGAGAGACAAUAAUUAACAAUGUGGCCUACAGCAUCUUGGGGAACAAUUAAUUUUAGUGAAUGGACAGGGGGAGGAAGAGAGAAGCUGUCAGGAAGGAGUUCCUAUAGGAUCUCCUCUGACGUGUCUAGCUGGCAAAUAGCCAUAUCCAACUGCAGGACCCAUGUGCCAUGUGAGUACAGCUGGAGAGAUGGGGAUGUGCUGCUGAGCUUUUGGACUGUCUGUGUAAUCUCCAGGUAGGAAUCCAGCAGAAAUGCUGAGGGAGGAACACCACCACACUUGACUUCUUUACUUCUUUUUCACAUCCCUCUGUCCCUUCCUCUUCACACACUGGUACCCAUGCUAAAUGAAGAGACUAUUUGAAGCAGCAGAAGAAACUUGCUAUGUUGUUUCUGAGAGUGAGAUAUCACAGAUGUGACUGCUUGGUUCUGUGUGAAGCAUGGGAAAAUGAGGUAUUUCAAGACUGGUUCAUCUGAAAAGUGCAUGGUCAUAUUUGGAAAAUGGCUGUGCUAGUAACAGGCAUCUGAAACCUUAAUUAUGAGCCCAAAUAAGGUGGUUUAUAAACCUUUGACUUUAUUCUAGAAUUUUGUAAUAUCACAAGUAUGUUUGCAGUAGAGAGGAAACAACAUGCCCCACUGGAAAGCUAGCAGUGCAUUUAUCCCUUCAGGGAACAAACUCAUUUGCCCUUUCCCUUUUAUGUCUGCUUAUUCAAACAAUUAAAUAAACUUUAAAAAAUAAAAGCA
rnacentral:lncRNA from 1 species